UCCCUGGUGGUCUAGUGGUUAGGACUCAGCAUUGUCAUCGCUGCAGACCAGGUUCAAUCCCUGCUCUGGGAA
rnacentral:tRNA from 1 species